AGGGAAAUGUCAGGAAGUUCCACAACUUUCAUGGCACGCAGAACAUUGUUGGUCAAAUGCACACAAUCUAGUCUUAAGUAAAGUUUAAACAACAAACCCAUAAUAUAAUAAGCUCCCCAUUUACGUGACGUCGACAGAGGAGCUCGAUCAUUGAUACAGAUGGUAAAUGCACGAUUAAUCAGCCUAGCGGUUGCUUCAAGUUGUUCAUUUUCUUCCGACUCAUCAACCGAAAUUACUUUCAACUGCUGUUUGCGGCGAAGCAUUGCAUUAUGUGCAUUGAUAGCCAAAAAUCGUAGAUCCUUACAUACUAUAAACAAUACUGGUAAAUGAACACCGGUACAUCUGCCGGAUGAGAAUUCACGAUAUAGAUGCUGUGCGAGUUCAGUCUGU